rnacentral:misc_RNA from 1 species
CAGGGUGACCAGAGUGUCCCCGGGCGUCUGCCGGAGGCAGAGCCGUACUCCUCGCGAGCACGGACCAGCGGCGGUUGGAGUGGGGCCAUAAGGCUGACGGUACGGUACGUCGGGUCGGGCUUCGGCUCGCCCGACGACUUAGAGACCGUCUUUCCGGCGCUCCACUCGGACCGAGGAAGGAGGGCAGCUUUUGCCCGGUGUGGUGCACGCCGUAUGGCGGGGCCUCCCGUCGGGGGCAAGCCGUGCAGGGUGGACUGCGUGCAGUGCUCACUGUCACGGCGAACCCACGGUCGGAGAGCGUCACUUGUGCACCAGUGCUGCUGGUAUUGGGAC